GCCCCUGCCCCCGCCCCUGCCCCCGAGCGUCGUUCGAUUGCGAAGCCUUUUGAGUGCUCCCAAGCAUCCCUCGAGCUCCCCCUUUUUCCUUCUCUCCUUCUCCUCCGUCUCCCCCCUUCUCUAUUCUGAGUCUCCCUUUCCACUGCUCUACGCCUCCCUCUUCUCAAGGUUCCCCAUUCCAUUGACGACGGGUUGUACGAUCACCUCGUUGUUGCAAGGAGCUCCGUCAUUGUGAGGACACGCGACGUCUCCAGGAACCGCUGCAUACUGAAGCCAUUGCAGGACACGCAACGUCCUCUUUGAAUUGGGGUUUCUCUAUUGCAAGUUUGAUCCCCUUGCACAUCUGUCGGCAAAAGCACCCGUUCAGUUUUGUUCUACUCGGUUUCCUUAUGGUUUUCAAGCUUCCUCGUGGGCUUCACCUAUGCCUUCACCAGCGGUUUAUUAUGACGCUUGAAACAAGGUAUGAUAAAGAAUAAAAAAUUUUGUACAUUCGUUGCUAUUAAUAAUUAAUGUAUUCCCUAUGCAGCUUGUUCUCCCCUGCAGUGCGAUCGAGAACACUCCUCAUUCUAUCAACCAUUAGCUUUGUAAUGAUUUUGUAGAGAAAAUUGCCAAGGGCUAUGGGCCGGUACUGUUGAAUCAUAGUGGCACACAAGAAUUUUGGAACUAAAACCAAGAUAGCUCUAUUGAUAUUAAAGACAAUUCACCUUGAUUUAAAAAGUUAUCCACUACCCUGUAGAUGUCGUCAUCCACCACCUAGGAGAAGAAUUGAAAGAAAGCUCUGGAAAAACCAUCUGACCUUGGAGCACUGUCCCUGCAAAAUUAAAAACUGCUUUCCUAACAUAUUGGAUCACUUGUUGUAGAUCAGCCACAACUUCUAGUCCGUUGUAGCUGCUUCUUUCUUCUCUGUUCUGUUAUCUUCUUCACCAUAUGCACUAAGAUGUAUCAUUUCUAGAAUAGAUUUUCAAAAGGUGUCCUUGGGAGUUGGUGGCCUGUGCGCAGUAAACUAAUUAACUCAAUGGCAAAAGGCAAACAGAAAGCCAAUUUCAGUUGCAGUAAUGCAUUCUUUUGAAAAAUGUGAAAAAAAAGGAUCUACAAGUUGUAAUAGCUACUACACUUAUCUUGAUUCUGCAAGACUUUUAUGUUUUUAAACUUUUAAAUGUUGGAAGAUUCUUUUGGUAAAACAAGUUGGCAUAUUCCGUCUUUUGUUUGUGAUUGCUGGAUUAUUCAUCAGGAACAUUAAGAUGAAUCUGGGAACUCCUAACCUGCAGAAAUUGGCAGGUUUCCAGUCAUCAUAAGAAAACUUGAUCAGGUUCACUGCUUUGGUCUGUGGACUAACUUUGUUCUUUUUAGUUGUAAUUGUCUCUCAUAAAGGUUUUAUUUCAGUUAGGAAAGGUUUCUUUUCAACAGUACAAGUUCUACGCUCAUGUUCUUGAUCACUAUUUGCUAUUAACAUUUAUUUCAGGCCAUUACCACUCUUAAGAGACGAGCUUACUUGCUUAAGUAUGGUCGAAGAGGGAAGCCCAAGUUCUGCCCAUUUAGGCUGGCUAGAAGGCCUCAAGUUCUGCAUAUGACAUGAUAUGCAUUAAGACAGUGGUGGAGUCAAAAAUUUCCAGCUGAGGGGUACUCAAGUUUAAAUUUCAAACCUUAAGGAGCAAUCUUAAGUUGUGCAACCUGGAUUUGGUGAGAAAUGCACGCCAAGAGGACAGUGUACAUUCAGAGCUAGGCUGCAAGAUGAUGAAAGCAAACUCCUACCAAUUUUUGUGAAGUUGCAGGCUGAACAAGGAUGGCUGAACAUUGAAAUUUAUAAAGAUUGAUCUUUGUAGACAAGGGCAUUUCUGUAGAAAGGAGGGCUUCAAAUAUUGAAUAAUAUACUAUUUAUACAUUUGCUUGAUAUUGUCAGAAAAAACUACCACCGGAAUCUUAGAUGCACCACUUCUGGUUCAACAUGGCGAACUAGUUUUUGACUUGCUUGUCAACUUUCUUCAUUAAUGAAAAAAUAAGCUGUU